rnacentral:rRNA from 1 species
UACGUAGGGGGCUAGCGUUGUCCGGAAUUAUUGGGCGUAAAGCGCGUGUAGGCGGUUCGGUAAGUCCGCUGUGAAAGUCGGGGGCUCAACCCUCGAAUGCCGGUGGAUACUGUCGGACUAGAGUACGGAAGAGGCGAGUGGAAUUCCUGGUGUAGCGGUGAAAUGCGCAGAUAUCAGGAGGAACACCGAUGGCGAAGGCAGAUCUCUGGGCCGUAACUGACGCUGAGGAGCGAAAGCAUGGGGAGCGAACAGG